rnacentral:rRNA from 1 species
GACGUAGGGGGCAAGCGUUGUCCGGAUUCAUUGGGCGUAAAGAGCGUGUAGGCGGCCAGGUAGGUCGGUUGUGAAAACUGGAGGCUCAACCUUCAGAGGUCGACCGAAACCAUCUGGCUAGAGUCCGGGAGAGGAGAGUGGAAUUCCUGGUGUAGCGGUGAAAUGCGUAGAUAUCAGGAGGAACACCUGCGGUGUAGACGGCUUUCUGGACCAUUGCUGACGCUGAGACACGAAAGCGUGGGUAGCAAACAGG